rnacentral:rRNA from 1 species
UGAGUAACACGUAUCCAACCUGCCGUCUACUCUUGGACAGCCUUCUGAAAGGAAGAUUAAUACAAGAUGGCAUCAUGAGUUCACAUGUUCACAUGAUUAAAGGUAUUCCGGUAGACGAUGGGGAUGCGUUCCAUUAGAUAGUAGGCGGGAUAACGGCCCACCUAGUCUUCGAUGGAUAGGGGUUCUGAGAGGAAGGUCCCCCACAUUGGAACUGAGACACGGUCCAA